UCCCAGCAGCCAAGUAAAUCUGGAGCACAAAUGAAUUAAGGGGGAAUUAAGGAGCCUGUGCAAAGUGAAGCCUUUCCAAAUCUCAACACAGAUGAAAGGAAUGCAGCAAAAGACUAGAAAAAGCUGGCCUAAAUCUUCCCACAGGAAAUGCAGAUUGAUCCGGCUGAAUUUGCAUGGGAAUCCAUUCCGUUUGAGCCGAGAGAUCAUAAUUGAUCAGAUGGGAUAAAGCCUGUAUCUGGCUUGCCUUUCAAAGGUUAAGGUGAAAAUGAAUUUGCUUGUUCGUUAGUUACAUUUCAAUCCUGUAAUUAAGUCUUGCAAAUGAUUAAAAUGUAAAACAAUGGA